rnacentral:rRNA from 1 species
GACGAACGCUGGCGGCGUGCUUAACACAUGCAAGUCGAACGGAAAGGCCCUGCUUUUGUGGGGUGCUCGAGUGGCGAACGGGUGAGUAACACGUGAGUAACCUGCCCUUGACUUUGGGAUAACUUCAGGAAACUGGGGCUAAUACCGGAUAGGAGCUCCUGCUGCAUGGUGGGGGUUGGAAAGUUUCGGCGGUUGGGGAUGGACUCGCGGCUUAUCAGCUUGUUGGUGGGGUAGUGGCUUACCAAGGCUUUGACGGGUAGCCGGCCUGAGAGGGUGACCGGCGACAUUGGGACUGAGAUAGGGCCCAGACUGCUACGGGAGGCAGCAGGGGGGAAUAUGGCACAAUGGGCGGAAGCGUGAUGAAGCAACGCCGCGUGCGGGAUGACGGCCUUCGGGUUAUAAACCGCUUUCGCCUGUGACGAAGCGUGAGUGACGGUAAUGGGUAAAGAAGCACCGGCUAACUACGUG